ACCAGGGUGGCUGAGUGGUUAAGGCAUUGGACCUAAGAUCCAACAGAUGAAUAUCUGCAUGGGUUUAAAUACCACUUCUGAUA
rnacentral:tRNA from 1 species